CUGCAGCCAAUUAAGCCGACUGAGUUCCUUUCCUCAUGGGGGCCCAGUGUGCAAUGGCUGCAAACAGCAGCUUCCCUGGUAGUGAUGCAACCUGUUUGUUGUAUGGGUUGCUCUAAGGGACCUUGGAGACAGUC
ensembl:snoRNA SNORA70 Small nucleolar RNA SNORA70